ACGGGGGCAAUGAUGGCGAUGUCGGGGCCGGCGUCGGCUCAAACCGCUGAUGUCAAAGAUGUGAAGCCGAUCAAGCUCGCCGUUCUGGGCGAUUCCCUGACCGCAGGUUUCGGCCUUCCGGCCUCGGCGGCGUUNNNNNNNNNNAGAAAGCCCUGAGCGAGAAGGGGAUCGCCACCGACAUUCAUAACGCGGGGGUGUCCGGCGACACCACAACCGGCGGGCUCGCCCGGCUCGACUGGUCGAUCCCGCCCGGCACCGAAGCUGUGAUCGUCGA
rnacentral:misc_RNA from 1 species